rnacentral:rRNA from 1 species
UGGUGUGCGAGUGACGGUACUUUACCAGAAAGCCACGGCUAACUACGUGCCAGCAGCCGCGGUAAUACGUAGGUGGCGAGCGUUAUCCGGAAUUAUUGGGUUUAAAGGGUGCGUAGGCGGCCAUUUAAGUCAGCGGUGAAAUUUUGCAGCUUAACUGUAACAGUGCCGUUGAUACUGUUUGGCUAGGAUUUGGUUGUAGUGUGCGGAAUGUGUGGUGUAGCGGUGAAAUGCUUAGAUAUCACACAGAACACCGAUUGCGAAGGCAGCACACUAAGUCAUUAUUGACGCUGAGGCACGAAAGUGUGGGGAUCAAACAGGAUUAGAUACCCUGGUAGUCCACACUGUAAACGAUGAUAACUCGCUGUCGGCGAUACACAGUCGGUGGCCAAGCGAAAGCAUUAAGUUAUCCACCUGGGGAGUACGACCGCAAGGUUGAAACUCAAAGGAAUUGACGGGGGCCCGCACAAGCGGAGGAACAUGUGGUUUAAUUCGAUGAUACGCGAGGAACCUUACCCGGGCUCGAACGGUGCAUGAAUAUACGAGAGAUUGUAUAGUCCUUCGGGACAUGUAUCGAGGUGCUGUAUGGUUGUCGUCAGCUCGUGCCGUGAGGUGUCGGCUUAAGUGCCAUAACGAGCGCAACCCUUGUCAUUAGUUGCCAUCAGGUCAAGCUGGGGACUUUAAUGAGACUGCCACCGUAAGGUGUGAGGAAGGGGGGGAUGACGUCAAAUCAGCACGGCCCUUAUGUCCGGGGCGACACACGUGUUACAAUGGGAGGUACAGAGGGCAGCUAUCCGGUGACGGAAUGCUAAUCUCCAAAACCUUUCUCAGUUCGGAUUGGAGUCUGCAACUCGACUCCAUGAAGGUGGAUUCGCUAGUAAUCGCGCAUCAGCCAUGGCGCGGUGAAUACGUUCCCGGGCCUUGCACUCACCGCCCGUCAAG